CACGUAGGGGGCGAGCGUUGUCCGGAUUUAUUGGGCGUAAAGAGCUCGUAGGCGGUUUCGUAAGUCGGAUGUGAAAACUCCAGGCUCAACUUGGAGACGCCAUUCGAUACUGCGAUGACUUGAGUCCGGUAGGGGAGUGUGGAAUUCCUGGUGUAGCGGUGAAAUGCGCAGAUAUCAGGAGGAACACCGGCGGCGAAGGCGGCACUCUGGGCCGGUACUGACGCUGAGGCACGAAGGCCAGGGGAGCAAACGGG
rnacentral:rRNA from 1 species